UACGAGGGGGGCGAGCGUUGUUCGGAAUUAUUGGGCGUAAAGGGUGCGUAGGCGGUUUGGUAAGUCUUGUGUGAAAUCUACAGGCUCAACUUGUAGUCUGCACGAGAAACUGCCGGGCUUGAGUGUGGGAGAGGUGAGUGGAAUUCCUGGUGUAGCGGUGAAAUGCAUAGAUAUCAGGAGGAACACCUGUGGCGAAAGCGGCUCACUGGACCAUAACUGACGCUGAUGCACGAAAGCUAGGGGAGCAAACAGG
rnacentral:rRNA from 1 species